CUGCUGUAGACUUUUAGCUUCUUCAUUUUUUUUUUUCCUUUAAAUAGAACCAAUUAACUCUUACUUGAAUUUUCCAAAUACAUGAGGUUUCACUACCAUUUUGGAGGAAUGGAGCCAGCGUUUUGAUUGUCACACAUAGACUUUCACUAAUGUAUUUUUCCUCAAAGGCAACUAGAUAUUCAUGUUACUAUUGCUUUUCCUUAGAAACAGAAGUCUCCCGAUCAUAAUUACAGGCUUUGAGCAAAGGCAACAGUAGUGAAGAAACCCGGAGCUCUGUAAACAUUACUGAAGAACCAUGCCAAAUAUAUGCAUAAAUUCAGGUGGCUUAUUAUUACAUCUUGAAAGGACUGGAUAUCUGAGCACUGUCUGACAUUACUUUUGACUUCACUGGAGGUAACCUAGAAGGAGAGAGAUGUCUCAGCAGUUUCUUUAUCAAUCGCCACCUUUGGAUUUAGCCUUCUGUGGUCAUUUUGAAUAGCAAGCAUCUGAGACAGCAAAGGUGGGCGCAACUGCCAAAACCACAACCCACGGUCAAAAGGAUCGUCAUCCAUUUGGGGGUGCUCUACGUGUAUGAAGUUAUUUAAUACUUAUAACAACUUUAUGAGCUUCAGGUGCCUGGAUGUUGAGGGGCAAAUAGGACUGUUCACUGAAGGAGCUAGAGAAUGGAAGAGAAGGUUGUGUCAGAUAGAAAUAACAGAAGCUUUCUGAAAUGAAAACAGAAAUGUUACAACUUGCACCACAGUACUGGACUGAAACGAAGAUGUAACACAGCCAUAAUAAUUUAAAUUAAUAGCAAAUAAAUAAAGAAAAAAAGAACUUCAUUGUGAGGACCAUAGUCAUGGGAUAGCUCUGUCUUUUCGGGGAAAGUGGAGUAGAGGGACAGAGUCACCCCAGGAGAAAAAAUGCUUAAAUUAAGACUCCCUGAGAGACUGAAUAAGAGUAUGAUUAGUUCAGCCUUGCUUUCAUCCUCCACUUCCCCCUCCCACUGUAGACUUCAGUUUUAAUAAUGAUUAAAGAAUAAUGCCUGAAUCCCAUCUGAAUGGCUUUUGAGAUUUAACUCACUGAAUCUAUUCAUAGCUUUGAGCUUGUAAGGGGGACUGAACAGAUCUGCACAACUAAUCGUGGAAUAUUACACUGAUACUUCAUCUCCCACAUCAAUACCAAUUACGCCUGCACAGAGAGCAUCACAUAUUAUUUUAAUAGGAUAGGAAUUUUUAAUCCAGUCAGGUAGUUCUGGAUGAAUGUGUUUGUAUGUCUGUCAUUAAAAUUUGGUGGCUCAUGCUGCUCAAGACAGACACAUUUUGAAUGUUUAAAAUUUCCACAGAUGUUAUUUAUCCAUCAGGAUGGAAAAUUUCCUGCUCUCCAGUGUAUAGAUUCUGCCUCAUUAACAUAAAUAAAGAAUAAGGCAUAACAACAACAAUCUUGCUUAAUGUGUACACACAGAAAUAUUGUCAUAGGCAUCUGGCAAUCAGUUGGAGACGGUGAAAACUGCUAAAUGAAUGAAAGUGGCAGAACUAGCAGAAGUAUGAGAUCCCAUACUGGAGAAAAAGGCUCACUGUUAAAAUAUUUUGUUUCUUUGUUCUACUCCUUUUUUAUUUUCAAGGCAUUUUAUUCAGCUUGGACCUUCAGAUAAAAG
rnacentral:lncRNA from 1 species